rnacentral:rRNA from 1 species
UACGAAGGGGUGCAAGCGUUACUCGGAAUUACUGGGCGUAAAGCGUGCGUAGGUGGUUCGUUAAGUCUGAUGUGAAAGCCCUGGGCUCAACCUGGGAAUGGCAUUGGAUACUGGCGAUCUAGAGUGCGGUAGAGGCAGUGGAAUUCCCGGUGUAGCAGUGAAAUGCGUAGAGAUCGGGAGGAACAUCUGUGGCGAAGGCGACUGCCUGGACCAGCACUGACACUGAGGCACGGAAAGCGUGGGGAGCCAAACAGG